GCCUGUCUUCAGGGAGUCAACACAAAAUCUGAACCCCAACAGAUGAUCUCUAAACACCAGAGGCCACAAUGAGUGAUCCAACUCACAGAAACGCGGGCCGAUGCAACACUUGCUCAUCACGUUGUUGUGGCGAUGGUGCGAGAAACCAACAACGGCCAGGCUACACAUCAAAGACAACAAAAGCCGCAGUGAUGGAGUGGGCGCGCAAACGGGCCAAUCAGCAGUGAAGCGACUUCAUCGCAAUUAAUAUGCAGGCUAUAUU